AAAGAAAGACAGGUAGAAAGAAAGCAAGCAAGAAAGAAAGAAGGAAAGAAAGAAAAGCGCUGCAGAUCUGCACGCGGAAACUGACUUUCUUCCUUUGUUCAUUCCUUCACUUGACAAUGUUCAUUC
rnacentral:ribozyme from 11 species